UACGUAGGUGGCAAGCGUUGUCCGGAAUUAUUGGGCGUAAAGCGCGCGCAGGCGGUCCUUUAAGUCUGAUGUGAAAGCCCACGGCUCAACCGUGGAGGGUCAUUGGAAACUGGGGGACUUGAGUGCCAGGAGAAGAAGAGUGGAAUUCCACGUGUAGCGGUGAAAUGCGUAGAGAUGUGGAGGAACACCAGUGGCGAAGGCGA
rnacentral:rRNA from 1 species